AGUUUUUGUGUUCAAUGUCUUUAUGCUCGAGUGUGAGCUCUUCUGAUGCAUGUGGUUUCUUCUCCCCUUAAAAGAGUUUAUGAGAUUUGCUCUUCUGAUGCAUGUGGUUCUUCUCCCCUUAAAAGAGUUUAUGAGAUUUGCCAUUGUUGAUUUGUUCUCAGGACGCAAGGUUCUCUUUUACCUCUUUGGCUUUGAUGGAAACGCUUCUCCUUUGUGCUACAUCUUCAGGGAUCAUCGUCGAGCCAGAGGCACUGGGAUUGGAACUGUUCUGUUGAAUCUUAUCUUCUCUGUCUAUCAUCAUCUGUUUAGGUUUUGUAUGAUGCUUAUAUCGAUGAAUGAUGAGUGAAGGCUUUGAUGGAAACACUUCUUCUUCUUGCUACAUCUUCGAUCAGGGGGUUCGUUUAACGGUUGAAAGGAGUCAGGUUUUGGAUGAUGGUUUUAUGGAUCAGUGAUGGCUUUGUUGGUCAAACUUCAUCUCUGUGCUAUGUCUAGAGGGGCUUUUUGGAAGCAAAUUGUAAUCUUUAUCAUCUCUUAGUCAAGGUUAUAUUAGAGAAAAGCAUUAGGGGUAUGUUUAACGUUGGAAAGGAGUCAGGUUUUGGAUGAUGGUUUUAUGGAUCAGUGAUGGCUUUGUUGGUCAAACUUCAUCUCUGUGCUAUGUCUAGAGGGGCUUUUUGGAAGCAAAUUGUAAUCUUUAUCAUCUCUUAGUCAAGGUUAUAUUAGAGAAAAGCAUUAGGGGUAUGUUUAACGUUGGAAAGGAGUCAGGUUUUGGUUGAGUCUUUAUCGAUCAAUGAUUGCUCUCAGAGGUUUUGUUUUGAAAGCAAACUAUGAUCUUGAUCAUCGCAUAGUCAAGGCUAUGUAAGAGAACAUUCAUCAGACCCAAGGUUCUCUUUUAGCUCUUUGGCUUUGAUGGAGACGCUUGUCCUUUGUGCUACAUCUUCAGGGAUCAUCGUCGAGCCAGAGGCACUGGGAUUGGAACUGUUCUGUUGAAUCUUAUUAUCUUCUCUGUCUAUCAUCAUCUUUUAAGGUUUUGUAUGAUGCUUAUAUCGAUGAAUGAUGAGUGAGGGCUUUGAUGGAAACACUUCUUCUUCUUGCUACAUCUUCGAUCAGGGGGUUCGUUUAACGUCGGAAAGGAGUCAGGUUUUGGAUGAUGGUUUUAUGGAUCAGUGAUGGCUUUGUUGGACAAACUUCAUCUCUGUGCUAUGUCUACAGGGGCUUUUUGGAAGCAAAUUUUAAUCUUUAUCAUCUCGUAGUCAAGGUUAUAUUAGAGAAAAGCAUCAGGGGUAUGUUUAACGUUAGAAAGGAGUCAGGGGGUUUUGUUUUGGAAUCAAACUAUGAUCUUGAUCAUCGCGUAGUCAAGGCUAUGUAAGAGAACAUUCAUCAGGUUUUAUAUGGUGCUUUUAUCGAUCAGUGAUUGUUUUAUGGAUACGCUUUCAGUGUCUUAGGUCUGCUAAGUCUGAGCUCCUCUGAUGCACAAGGCUGGACAUGUGAUUUAUUCAUGUUAUUAUUCAGGUUCUUGUUCUCUGUCCCGUUGGUAAUUUUCUUUGUUUAUGUAUCUCAUGCUGCAUCUUUCCUACUCUUUGAUAUUUUUCUUAAAUGCUAGAUAGUUGAUGCUCUAUUAGAGAAAGGCGUCUGGUUAUUUGCUGUUUUUUUCCAAUUGUUUCUCUGUUAAUUUAUGUAUAUCUCAUGUUGCAUCUUCUCCAAUCGAGUUUGUUCUUUUUACUUUGUCAUGUUAGUGAUGUUUUGUAUUCAAUGUCUUUCUUUUUUAAGUCUAUAAGGUCUGUUAAGUCUGAGCUCCUCUGAUGCACAAGGUUGGACAUGUGGGUUAUUCAAAUUUUUGAUCCUCUUUCCCUCUAUUAUCUUGCAUGUCUUUUGGAAGCAAGUUAGGAUCUGAUCAUUCUGAAUUUUCUCUCCUAUGAUUUGAUUUCUAAACUGCACUAGUUUUUGUUCAUGUCAUUUCUUGUUGUAUACACACUUUCGGAUGAAAGGUGAUCAUAGAUUCCUUCUUAACAAGUAUGUCCUUUUUAAUUAGUUUUUGUAUUCAAUGUAUUUUUUAAGUCUUUUAGGUAGUAUGCUCGAGUCUGAGCUCCUCAGAUGCAUGUGGUUUAUUCAGGUUUUCGUUCCUUUUUUCCCUCUGGUAUAUAUGUCACCUAUCUAUUGUUUUAUUAACUGGAUUUUAUGUUUUAGCUUUCAGAGUUUUGGACUGUGCCAUCAGGGCAAGAUUUGGACUUUUUGUUGGAUGUUUCAGGUUGAAAGUAACAAAAGACCCAGCAGUCUUGUUGUUAUAGAUUGUAUAAGAAAGAAAAAAAAACAUCAGGUUACUAACUUGUCUCUUUCCCUUUUUUUUUUUUUAAAUUUCUCUUUAUUUCUCAUGCUGCAUAUGUUCCCAGUGUUUGGUCCUACUCUUAUAUGCUUGUCACCGUGGCUACUUUUUAUGUGAAGUGAUCCCCUUCUUUGUAGGAUUGUUUAUGGAUGCAAAGGAUUAAAUGCUAAUCACUUUUGCUUAGGAUUUUGGUUUUCUCUUUCAAUACAUGAAGUCAUUAUCCUCGUAUAGGAAUUUGGAUCAUGGAAGUGGAAGUUUUGUUUUGAUAUGUUUGCCUAAAAGUCCAUGUUUAUGUGCACUGGUAUUUUUUCUCUUGAUAGGGAUGAACUUGGAGCUUUCAUCUCUGGAAUUUGAUUCUUGGGUUUCUUUGGCUUGUGGUUGUUACUCCUCUGUGAAUUCCUUCUUUUUUUUUUCUCCAAUAAGUCUCUGAUUCUUCUUCUGAAAGUGUCUCUGCUUUUUGUUUUCUUCGCUACGUUUUUAAAUUGCAUUGGUGCUCUUUCUGUAAUUUGCUUCUCGUUUUGAUGUUUUAGAUUAGUUGUGGAUGAUGCGAUGAUUGAUAGUUGUCACUCGUU